UAUUGGACAAUGGGGGCAACCCUGAUCCAGCCAUGCCGCGUGUGUGAAGAAGGCCUUUUGGUUGUAACGCACUUUAAGCAGUGAAGAAGACUCCGUGAUUAAUACUAACGGACGAUGACAUUAGCCGCAGAAUAAGAACCGGCUAAAUAUGUGCCAGCAGCCGCGGUAAUACAGAGGGUGCAAGCGUUAAUCGGAAUUACUGGGCGUAAAGCGAGCGUAGGUGGCUUGAUAAGUCAGAUGUGAAAUCCCCGGGCUUAACCUGGGAACUGCAUCUGAUACUGUUGAGCUAGAGUAGGUGAGAGGAAGGUAGAAUUCCAGGUGUAGCGGUGAAAUGCGUAGAGAUCUGGAGGAAUACCGAUGGCGAAGGCAGCCUUCUGGCAUCAUACUGACACUGAGGCUCGAAAGCGUGGGUAGCAAACAG
rnacentral:rRNA from 1 species